AUGCCUGGAUCAGUGAGCUGGGUCUGACCUUACUCUACCUUACUCGUAGCCUCUCUCUGAAUGUGUGCAUUGGUACCACGAACUCGUCUCCACUGCAACCUCUUGCUGCGGAGACGGCAAAGACAACAAACGCUCAUCAGAGGAUCCAGUGGCUCUCCUAUAAACCAGAGUAUCCAUAUAUGGUUUGUGUCCGGGAAAAUAGAAGACGUCCCUUCCCAGAACUAGCCAUGGAGAGUCAUGGCUCCAUGGAAAGACUUCAAGUUUAGCUACCACGCCCCUUACAGGAAAAAAUCUAGGCUAGCUCUUGAAACUGCCGAAUACUGAACGUGUGCUCACUUACCCACUCUCUGCUUCGUCACAAGAUGGCAAAACUGAGUUCUGUUCUCAGCAACAUCUUCGGCUUCUUCAAUCUGCUUUUUGCGAUUGUUGGUGUUGUUGUCAUUAUCUUGGCAAUACUAAUCCAUGUUAAUCUCAGUAAUGUGCAGGAGUUUGGAAAGAUCGGUGGAGUCGUCAUCCUGUAUGUGAUUGGAUUCAUCACAUUGACCAUCUCGUGA